rnacentral:rRNA from 1 species
CGCGUAGGUGGUCAAAUAAGUCUGGUGUGAAAUAUCUCGGCUCAACCGAGGAAACGCGCUGGAAACUGUCUGACUUGAGUGAUGGAGGGGGAGCUGGAAUUCCAGGUGUAGGGGUGAAAUCUGUAGAGAUCUGGAAGAACACCGGAGGCGAAGGCGAGCUCCUGGCCUGUUACUGACGCUGAGGCGCGAAAGCGUGGGGAGCGAACAGGAUUAGAUACCCUGGUAGUCC